AUUGAACGCUGGCGGCAGGCCUAACACAUGCAAGUCGAGCGGAUGAAGAGAGCUUGCUCUCUGAUUCAGCGGCGGACGGGUGAGUAAUGCCUAGGAAUCUGCCUGGUAGUGGGGGACAACGUUUCGAAAGGAACGCUAAUACCGCAUACGUCCUACGAGAGAAAGUGGGGGAUCUUCGGACCUCACGCUAUCAGAUGAGCCUAGGUACGAUUAGCUAGUUGGUGUGGUAAAGGCUCACCAAGGCGACGAUCGUUAACUGGUCUGAGAGGAUGAUCAGUCACACUGGAACUGAGACACGGUCCAGACUCCUACGGGAGGCAGCAGUGGGGAAUAUUGGACAAUGGGCGAAAGCCUGAUCCAGCCAUGCCGCGUGUGUGAAGAAGGUCUUCGGAUUGUAAAGCACUUUAAGUUGGGAGGAAGGGCAGUAAGUUAAUACCUUGCUGUUUUGACGUUACCGACAGAAUAAGCCCCGGCUAACUCCGUGCCAGCAGCCGCCGUAA
rnacentral:rRNA from 1 species